UACGUAGGGCGCAAGCGUUGUCCGGAAUUAUUGGGCGUAAAGAGCUCGUAGGCGGUCUGUCGCGUCGGAUGUGAAAGCCCGAGGCUUAACCCCGGGUCUGCAUUCGAUACGGGCAGACUAGAGUGUGGUAGGGGAGAUCGGAAUUCCUGGUGUAGCGGUGAAAUGCGCAGAUAUCAGGAGGAACACCGGUGGCGAAGGCGGAUCUCUGGGCCAUUACUGACGCUGAGGAGCGAAAGCGUGGGGAGCGAACAGG
rnacentral:rRNA from 1 species